GGAGCUCAUCAGUGUAGGAGGCAGCAGUCCAGAGUCGUGCACACGAAGAAUUUUCAGGAUCCUAAUGUCGAACAGCUUGGUAGCCACAUUCUCGGGGAAUGGGAAAAAAAGGAAAAAAUGCUUUGAACAUAUUUAAGCUCCCAGAGUGCAUUGUCGCGUGCUGGAAGCUACACAGGGGAGAUGGCGGCACAAGAGGGCAAUGCCCAGCUAGGCCCACCCAAUGGUUGAAUAUAAGAUGGCUCGUGGUGGCACCCUACAGUAGGCUGCGGCAUCUACGCUGUGCUUUUCAUCGGGGAAGCCACGCGCAGCCAGACACAGCAACGUGAACCUGUCAAGUUUAGUCUGGCGUCCAGGACUGUCCGAGAAGCUGCGUACACCAACGUUCACUGGCUGUAAUAGCAUCUGGAGCAGUCUGUAGCAGUCUGGGAUUACAAAUCGAACAGGCCCAGUACAUGCAUGCAUGACAAAUAGAAGAAACGACCAAAAUAGUACAAUGGAUGUCCUAUGGACAUGAUUGCUUAAUAUUGUCACGUAGUGGUGACGGCAGUCGCAGGGGCGAUGAGAACAGAGAAAAGUUCGCCGAAAGGAGACUGUUUAUUGGGCUGACUUGCGCCCACAAUGCCCUGAAUUACCCGGCGGCGAAGCGACCAGCGUGGCGGCAGACUUGAAGAACAUGCAGUAAUGAGGACGGCACCAGUAUAAAGCAACACACUCCACGCACUAAACAGAAGCUGCUGCCUGCUACAACAAGGUCGUUGUGUGGACGUUGGCUACUACUACAAGAGUCUAUCCCAAGCACAUCUUGGUCAUCACAGGAGCUCCUAUCUGCACCAACAGGAAGUGGCUGGAGCCGAAUUUGUAAGGCUUUUACACCACGAACAAAGAAGCGCAUGCAGAAGAAUGUGGAUGAGAUAUCAAGUCUGCAGAGGAACGUGUUAAGACUGAAAAGAGCUUCAGCCACCAUUCCACCAGCACAGACAUUUGGCUGAGUCAUCCAGGUAACUCAAUAAGGACUUUCUAGAAAUUCUUCGUCUUCAGAUGCACCUGCAACAUCCGCCCAAACAUGGACGACGCUGGCCAAAAGAUCAGAUUCCGUCAGUUUGCCCUUAAUCAGCUUCCUAGCCAUGUCAAUUCCGUUUGUGCCAAGUGUAAUUUUUCUUCUAUAAAUGCAAGCUUUCUCAUUGCCCAUUUUUGUUAGAGAUCAUUCAUCCUCAUUCAAACAUAAAGGUCAACCGAUUCUUCGCUGAUACUUUAUACCAGUCACUGUCUAGUAGCCUAACAUAUCUGUAGCAGUAUCUUCUAGUGUAUGUUGUCAUGCACAAUUCCUCUCCUGAAAUAGCUGAUGCAGCAUCGGCAUGUGUCUUGCAUUAACCUAUACACCAUGUGCUAUGCACCAUUUUACUUUUAUUGAUGUUUUUAUCCUUGAAUGCCUGCAGAGCAGAGUGGCUUCUCUCUUGAAUGCACGCUUUCUCAUUUUCCCUAAUCCUAGUCUCGUUGAUGAUUGCUCUUCUUCCUCGAUAGCUUGGGUCCUUGCGCAAGCUACAAUGAAGUGAUUGAUUGCAGAAUCUGGUUUUGCUGCCCCACUUGAUUGUGGUAACUGUGUUACGUUUCUCGGAUGUGGGUGCCUAUUCAGUUGCAUUGGUAAGCAGUCCCCCGAGGUAAGCAUUUGCUCCUGCAGUCUGCAAAGCGACAUAGACUCCCAGUAUACACACACCGUAACUGGUACUCCCCGUUCCUUCUUACCUGCUGCAGCUAUGGGCAAAUUGUGCUUGUGGCCUACCUCGGCCAUGAUUUGCUCAAAACGGAGACCAGCAUAUGUGCUUACAUGGUUCGAAGUGUAUAAGUUGGUAGCUGUAUGGGUGGAAAGGCCCGCAAAAAUGGCUGCCGAAGGUGAUGCCCACAAAAGCGACUUGUCCACAUUUAGACAAAGUGGGACACAAAGUGUGAGCCACACAUUAGCGGCCCUCGAAAGAAAAUUAUUGUGCAGGUUGGAAAAGAGUUAACGCUAAAAUGCCGGGUAGUCCAUGUCGCUGUUUUGGUUGCGGCAGCAGAUGCCUGCGUCACCUGAUUGCUUCGCAAUGGAAGUUGCUCAUCUUCAACGGCAACUGUUGGUUCAAAUAGGUGCGAGGCUCUGUCCAAUCUGUUUGUACCGCUGGUUGUCGCACGUUACCAGACCACCACAUGCGACAAAGGCAAGCAUUAUGCCUGUGAGAUGGUUCGUAGCCAAUGUAUAAUGUAUUGUCUGAACCUCAUGCGGUGACUGAUUGCUGUUUAGUCUUGCUGUUAUGUCACUUGGUUACGGUUGCAGUGUUAUCUUUUUCGAAUAUUGCGGCCUGGUUGGUUGCCCUGGGAAGCAGUCUCUAGAAGUAAGCAUUUGCUCCUGCAGUCUGCACAGCGACAUAGAGACCCGGAAAUUUACACACACGUGAUUUGUGCUCCCCGUUCACCCUUUCCUGCUGCAGCCAUGGGCAAAUUGUGCCUCUGGCCUUUCUCAGCUGCGAUUAAGCACGAACGGAGACCAGAAUACGUGCUUACAUGAUCGGACGUGCAUGAAAUUGGGCGGAAAAGCCCGCAAAAGUGGCUGAUGAAGGGAUGCCCACGAAAGCGACUUGUCCAUAUUGAGACAAUGUGGGACACCAAGUGUGAGCCACACAAUAGCGGCCUCCGAAAGAAAAGAAACAUGCAGGUUGGAAAGGAGUCAAUGCUAAAAUGAUGGGUAGUCCAUGUCGCUGUGUAGGCUGCGGCAGCAGAUGCCUGCGGCACCCGAUUGCUUCGCACUGCAAGUUGCUCAUCUUUAACAGCGACUGUCGCUGCAAACAGGUGGGACACUCUGUCCAAUCUCUUUCUGCUGCUGGUUGUCGCUCGUUACUAAUCGUGCGACGAAGGCAGGCACUACGCCUGUAGGAAGGCGGCUGAAUGUACCCUAGGAGACCCGUGUAUGUGAAUGCUCACUGUUGCCAUAUGGUUCGUUGCCAAUGUAUAAUGUAUUGUCUGAACCUUAUGUGGUGAUUGAUUGCUGUUUAAUUUCGAUGUUAUCUUACUUGGUUAUGAUCGCGGUGUUAUGUUUCUCGAAUGUGGCGUACGGCCUGGUCAGUUGCAUUGGAAAGCAGUCUCUCGAAGUAAGCAUUCGCUCCUGCAGCCUGCACAGCGACAUAGACUCCCAAUUUUCAUGCACCGUGAUUCGUGCUCCCCGUUCGCCCUUUCCUGCUGCAGCCAUGGGCAAAUUGUGCCUCUGGCCUUUCUCGGCCGCGAUUAGGCAUGAACGGAGACCAGCAUAUGUGCUUACAUAGUCCGAUGCGUAUGAAGUUGAUAGCCACAUGGUUGGAAAGGCCCGCAAAAGUAGCUGAUGAAGGCGAUGCCCACGAAUAAAGCGACUUGUCCAUAUUGAGACAAUGUGAGACACCAAGUGUGAGCCACACAUUAGCGGUCCCCGAAAGAAAAGAAACGUGCAAGUUGGAAAGGAGUGAACGGCUAAAAUCCGGGGUAGUCCAUGUCGCUGUGUAGGCUGCAGCAGCAGAUGCCUGUGUCACCCGAUUGCUUCGCAAUGCGAUUUGGGCAUUUUUAACGGCGACUGUCGCUGCAAACAGGUGGCACACUGUCCAAUCUGUUUCCGCUGCUGGUUGUCGCUCGUUAACCUGACCACCACGUGCGACGACGACGGUGAGCCGUUUACGAGCUCGCGUCAAUGAUUCCAGCGUAUCUCGACAUGCAAAUUUUAUUUCUGCUAUUGCACGAGAAUGUACACUGCUUGUCUUCUGCCAAUAAAGUCGCACGUUCUGUUCA